rnacentral:snoRNA from 1 species
AAAAAACUCAUUCUAUCUCCUCCCCUAGAUUGUGGGGAUAGGAUUUGUUAGCUGGUACUGAAACAAAAUCCUUGAUUGCAUUCUUGCCCUGGGUCUGAGCUAGUGGCGGCUGUCAACUUGAUGGAACACAC